rnacentral:misc_RNA from 1 species
GCACGCCCAUACCCACAUAAAGGUACGCGCUCUCGUACACUCAGCUGAGCGCAAUGCUGAGCGGCAUCGCCGGCAUCCGUCGGUGCGCGGCACGUGGGGCAGGCGGUGCUGCUGCUGCCCGUACCUCUGGUGCGGCUGCGUCCGCAUCCCCCAAAGUCCCUUCUUUGCUCUGAUUGCUCGCCCGCCUCGGGCGCUGGUGGCGGGAGCGCGCAUUUCAUGCUGUGGCGCCCCACGCGCCCGGGCGCCUCACCGGCAAGAUGUCGGAGACGGCGCACCGGGUGAGGGCCCUGCGGGCUGGCAGGAAGGGCCGCGCCGGUGUGCUCCGUCGUGGCGACGAGCCUCGAGGACGAUGCCGCCCGCGCCGCGGCCGUGGUGCAGUCCGGCAUGCACACGAUGGGCACCGUCGCCAGGGUGGAGCGCAUUGCGGCGCGGGAGCCGCCGAGUAGGAUGUUGCACCGCGCGAGGCUGCUGGGGCUAGUAAGGCCGCUGCGCUCCUGCGCGCACGACCCGCGCGACGUCGAGGCCAUCGCGCUGAUCCUGUUUGGCCGCGGCUGGCGGGCGGAGCGGCUGUGACUGCCGGGGAGGGCGGGGGCCCCUCGCCGUGUGUGUUUGCGUCGAAGCUCGAGCAGGACGGCAUUAGCGAGAGGGCGCAGCGGAUGAAGGAGGGGAGUCUUCGCCGUGCCCCGGCCAAGUACAAGGGCACCAUGAGCUGCAUGUUCGGCGUGUCUGCGGUCCGUGACGUCUUCACGAUGAACCGCCGCGCCCACCGGCGGCAGCAGCGGGGCCAUCAGCUCAAGACAGCCAUCGAGACCCCCUCCAAGGCCGUACGGUGAUCCCAGGGCGAGGGUGUGCUGGCGACGGCCGACGAUGCUCUCGCCGUGAAGCGCAAGGAUGAGGAGGCGGCGGUGCGCACGGAGGCUGCGCGGGGGCAGUAGCUCGCGGCGGGUGUACAAGGGCGCGGUCGCGCUGGCGUGCGACGGUCGUCUGUGCGAUCUCGCCCGGGAGGUGGCCAUGGAGCCGCUGACCGUGGCAGGCGCUGGGCUGCCGCGCCGCGACGCCUGCACGAGUCCCGUGCUCGACCGCGAGCGCAGGCACUCGCCUACGCGCAGCACACUUUGUGGGCCCCGUCAGCCCCAGCCGCAUCAUCGACAUCAUCGGAACGAGCAGCAGCGAUUUGGACGAGCUGUUUGCCGCCGUGCACCAAGGCCGCGGCGGGCGGCGCUGUGGAGGGCACUGCGCCGCACGGUCCCGUAAAGGAUGUGUGGCUGCUGCGCACGAGGCUUUUCCGCUCCGCUGCGCCUUUCCCCGGUGCUGCCGGCUGUAGAUGCGAGGUGAGGUGAGGUGGUGAUGGAGGAGGGCGGGGCAGGGAUCUGUGCGAGCGCGUGAGUGCGGGGGUGGAGGGGCACACUCACAUGCUCCGACUCGCAUCUGCUGCUCUUCGUCGUGCCGCCUUUCUGUGUGGUGCCGAGCGGCUGCGGUGCCGUCUCUGUGCGCCCUCGCCCCGUGCCUAUCCGCCGCCUCCAUCUCUGCUGUCUGCAACGAGCGGGACGGGCGGUGACGGCGCGGCGCCGGUGGUGUCGGUGGAUUGUCGCAGCGGUGGGCGCGGUGGUGCUGCGUGCCAGGGCCGCGACGGAGGAGGUGUGUGUGUGUGUGUGUGUGUGUGUGUGUAUGUGUGUGUGUGUGUGUGUGUCGCUGUCUUUCCUCGCGCUGUUGUCGUGG